GAAACAUUUUCCCUGUGAAGACAAUGAAGCACUGGGACAGGUUUGAGCAGCAGUGCAGGCUAGGGACCUCGCAACCUGCAUUAUUGUCUGAUUCAAUGGAUCAGUAAGGGAAAGACAGAAAGUCAUUAUUUUGUUACCUCAGUUACACUAGAAAGGAUUAAGGAAAAACUGGAUGCAAUAGAAUCAUUAAGGUUGGAAAAGACCUUCAAGAUCAUCUAGCCCAACCCCAGCCCAUCCCCACCGUGCCCACUGACCACGUCCCUCGGUGCUACCUCUACUCUUUUCUUGAACACCUCUGGGGACAGUGACUCCACCACCCCUCUGGGCAGCCCGUUCCAAUGCCUCACCACUCUUCCUGAGAAGAAGUUUUUCCAAACAUCCAACUCAAAAUCGCCAAUUAGUUUUGCUAUUUAUAAAAAUACAAGCUAACUUUAUGGAGAUAGAAGACCCCACGUGACAGAAAAUGGUGAAACGCUUGCUCGAGAUGCAGGUCUGUGGUACAUUUGUUAUUUCAUUUUUUUUAUAGUACUGAUUGUCUGUGAUUACACACUGAAAAAUGGUAUGUGCAGAAGUCAAGGAAUGACACAGUUUUUGACCCUUUAAUUGAAGAUAGAGUUGUGUCCUGCAGCUUUAAGACACUUUUUCCUAGGAAGAAAUGUAAGUUUCUCCUUAAAAAAUUCCAGCAUUUUAUAGUUUUCGUACUUGCUAGUAAGAAAAGCAAAAGAACUAUAUAGACUUUGAUUUCCGUUUUUGGUAUCAUUGUACUGCAGUCAAACCUGAGCUAGGAGCAAAACUUCUUUUGUUUGCUGAUGAAAUUUGUUGUAGAAACAUAUGGCAAAGUGCAAGUAAUGGAGAAAUCUGUUUGGUUUCCUGCCAGUUCAGCUAGCAAACGUCAAGUGUCUGCAGAUGUGGCAGCAACAGCUUUACACCAACGCUGGGAAGUUUAGGUAGUUAUCAAAGAGAAUAACUUAUAAUGCAGUUGUGUUUUUAAUACAGUAUCAAUAUAUUAAAGUCAAGCGCUGCAUCUGCUCACUGAAAACUUGAUAUGAAUAGAUCUUUGAAUAAAACCAGAGGAAAACACCACUGGCUUGAGGGAAAUUUGCCCUGCGUAAGUCCUGAGUAAGAAAUUGAUCCCUUUUGUUCUUGGGAAUGCCCUUGGAUGACUGUUUCCUUUUGUCGGUUCUGAAAUGUGGAGGAAUUCUCUGGAAUUCAGUGACUGGAAGCUAUGCCAAGAUGUGAGUCAGCCCCUGCAACGUGUUCGUAGCGACCCGGCUUUUCCUGGAUUGCCUUCAGUUUUGCCGAUAAAGCAGCUGGUGCGCUGAGUGGCACCGCGUUUGUCAUUUCUCAGUUUUAGACAGUGAAAUGAUGGCUUAUUAAGUGCAGUAAUUCUAAUUAGCGAGUAGUUGUGUGAACAGCAGGUAUGCUCUGCACUACUUUAUGCAGUGAAAAAACUUGAUUUUCCAUGCCUCACUCGUCUCAGCUUGCAGUCUAAGGUGGCGUUCACUUCAACUCUUCCUCAGUAUAUGAUGUAACAGUGUAUUAAAACCCCAUGAGUAAAAUUUGACCUCAAAUAAGUUAAAAGAAGUCUUAACAGAAGUUAUUUAAAAUAUUUCUUUUUCGCUUAUCAUGACCCACUAUUGUAAUUUCUGUACAUGAACAGAAGCAAAUAAAUAUUCCCUAGAAACAAAAGGGAGAUUGAGCAGAUCUGGGGAAACUGUUAAGAAGGAAAUGUGAACAGCGUAGUUAGAUUGGAUUAAAUGUUUGUAGACAUCGUUUUUUUUUAUUUUUAUUUUGAAACACAAGUAAUUUGUAGAGUUGGUAAGAAAUGAUUUUUUAAAAUUAUAGGCCAAAAGAAUAAUUCCUCUGAAUAUGAUAGUUAUCCCUCUGUAGCAUCUGUGUAAAUGUUGUAAGAAUGAGUUUCUGUAUUUAGAAGUGCAGUUCUGCGGGGAUCGGACACUGAAGGCUGUUGGGGUGAGCUAUGCUCAUCUCUGAAGGAACCUUAUUUUUCAGCUGUGAACUCCAGGUGUUGUUUGGCCAACCACGCCAGAUUGGUUGCCGCUGUCUCACAUCACCGCUAGCAGUCCUGGAAGGCAAGCUAUUGCCUAAUGGCACUCAUAGAUGUUCCAGGGCUUUUGGCUGACUUAAGGAACAGUACUAAUUUGAAAGUAGCAAGCAAUCCUCUUGUUGCUAUAUGAUGUCAAAUCAACAGCAGUCCACGCUUCCUGUGCUGUUGACUCUGCAGUGCAAACAGGAGUAAGAAGCCAGUGCUGGCUUAUUGUCCCCAGUGACACCCCCUGCUAUGUCUCCGAAUACUCGUCUCUAUAAAAGAUGCCCAAUUCAGAGCUCUGCAUGUGUUUGACAGUCUAAUUUUUGUGCUAAACAGAUACAAAGUUUAUUCUUCUGUGACUCAUAGGUUAACACUAAUCUGCAGCCGUGUUUAUGGUUCUUCUGCAAACAUCCUUUAUAUACAUUACUGUGUUGGUUGUUCUGUAAAUUCGCUCUUCUACAUGUUUUACAGUUGGAAUGGGAAACCUGGGAGGUUACUUCGGGGACGUUCAGUACUCCCAGGCUGGGUGAUCUCACUGCUAUUACACUUUUCUUCUGUUGUACCUGUAGUCCACCGCAUUUGCACCACCAUUACUGUCACUUACAGGUUCACUUAUAGAUUAAUGCCAACUUGUACUAGAAGAUUACACUUUAAGACUGUGCUAAAAUUUUCAGCCUCUCCUUUUCCCAUCUCUGGCAGUAACGACUCCAACCUCAGCAAGCAUCUCAAAAGCAUGUCUCCUGCCAUCAGUGCAGCCAAAUGGAACCAGAUCCUUCAAGAGCUACACCUUCAAAAUGUAUCGGCACAUCUCCAUAACACCCACAGAAUGUUUCUGCCACAAUUGAACCACGAUGCUGUCAUGCCAGAGGCUUUUCUGUAGUGAUUCUGGCAGAGCACACAGCACACAAGGAGUUGUUUUCCUAAGGGUCAUCCCUGUGCGUUUAUUCCUGUAUUUGGUGGAGCAGUGAGGUGCUGUUCCUGUCGGUCGUGCAGCUUGUGAAUGCCGUGCUGCUUUCAGUUCAGAGCUGGGCUGUGCUGGGCUGCUCCUGCCUCUGUGGGAAUUCCACGGACUGUUUCUCACUGGUGCAAACGGCAAGAGGAGUUUGCCUGCACUGCUGAUGCUGAUCUGGUCUGUAUCUCUGGCUGUGGCUCCUGGCUUGUCUUUAGGCUGGGUAGCUGAAUGAAUCGCGCUGUGAGAUGUGGUGAAAUGGAUAAGUGGAGCCUUUCGGAAAGCGUGCCAUGCUCAGUGUGUUGGGGGAUGGCAACAGUGUGUUAUUACCAUUAACUCAGAGGGGUGACGCUGGUUAAUUUGAACAAAUGUCCCCCGUUUAUGAGUUUUGAUUUCAAAUCUGCUAGGGAGAUGUUCUUUGUUUUCCCAGCAUGUGCAUCGCUGUUUUGAAAGUGAUACAGUGUUGAUGACUGGGAAAGAAAAGCUGGGCAGACGAGUGUGUGCAGCAACUGGUAUGGAAGCAAAGUGGGAAAUACCCGCACCUAUUGUGUUCAAGGCAAAUAUGUGCUCUUGGCUCGUGCUGGUGAUCCAAAGAGUGACGCAGGUGGUUAAUACACAGAGGCCGUCCUGCCACGGGCACGGAAUGUACCACCCUGUCCUACAGCCCUGAGGUGCUGAGGGUAUCUGUUUUAUCAAAGUAUCCACAGUAACGAAGGGGCUGCUUUGUGUCCUCUGCAAUUGUUCUUACAGCCUGAGGCGUGUAGCAUGUUUCCUGGCAGAUGGUUUUGGACGUGUAUCUCCUAUGUUCAGCACACUCUCUUUCACAAGAAUUGUUCGUGUUUGUUACACUGUAUUAGUGAGAAGAGAAAAAUGAAUCAGGAAAAACUUCUUUAGAGAAACGGUUGUUAAGCACUGGAACAGGCUCCCCUGGGAGGUGGUUGUGUCACCAUCCCUGAAUGUGUUUAAAAACCGUUUGGAUGUGGUGCUCAUGAUUUAGUGGUGGGUUGUUAGGGCAGUAUGGUUAGGUUGUGUUGGACUUGAUGAUCUUGAAGGUCUUUUCCAACCUGAGGAAUUCAAUGAUUCUAUGAAAAUUUGCCUUAUGUAUGAAAAUGAUGAGCCUGUGUUUACUGAGAGGAUUUGCAAUGCUUAUAACCAGCACUUUUCUAGUAUUUCAGUUUCUAAAAGCUGCUGUCAAGCAUCAAUAGAUGUGUACUGGGAGGUCAGAAUUUAUACACUGACAUCCUGCCAUGUGUGUAACCUUCCAUAAACGGCGCUCCCUCUGUAAAGAACAUCUCCACUUGGAUGCACUGACUUUUCAUAUCAACCUGUGAGUCCUGUUCAAUUGAGUGUCUUAUCACAGUGAUCUACAUAUGACAGAAGGCUAUUUAAUGUCUGUUCAGUGAAUGCAGGUGCAUUGCUUCUUGGAUGCUUACUGAGAAAAUGAAGUAUGAUGCACUUGUUGGAUGUGAUGCUGAAUUCCAUUCAGUUUGCAGUGUCCUGAACCUUAUUUUCCAUUGUAUUUGAAAGCAGCAGAGCACUGAGCACUCAAGUCUGCUUGCCAGGCAAAAGAAGCAGAAGCUGUAAGAGGGCAGCUGGAGCUCUGACGUUUUGGUGCUCAAGAACAUGUCACGUUUCUUGUUCUGGAGGUCCCCUGUUCAGCCCUUGAUGUGUCAGCCAGGAAAGUGGCAGUCACAGCUGUGCUCAUGACUUUCUAAAAUAUUCUCACCGCUGGAAGAAAUGGGACUGAACCUGGGCAAUAACCACAUCAGUGCCAUUACAGGAAAACUGCAGAGAAAACUGGGUAAGGGUAGUGAGACUGGAGCAGAUACAGAGUCAUAGGCUCUUGAAAAUGUAUAGGAUGCUGUUUGUGUGCCUUUCCCGUUCGCGUGACGCUGCAAACCGAGAGAAGUGAUUCCCCGGGCUGAGAAUGACUCUGCAGUUGUGUGAUUGCUUUCCUGAGCCAGAUGGUUUAAAAAUAGCUCUGCUUACUCAGAUGCAGCUGAUGAUUGAAGAAAAAUACCGCUCCGUGGUAAGGAUGGAACACCUAGUGUUUGUUUCCCAUAACCACAGCAAACAGAAAGCAAAGUGAAAAAGAACUAAGGAGAGAACUUACAGCUCAUUUUUGGCAUUUGGGUUGAGUUCUUUGUGAGAACAGGCUCUUCGUAUUCCUUCUGACCCGUUCUUGUCAAAUGGCUGCAAUGGGCACUAGUGUGCAGCGUACAGAAGAUCCCAUUGCUUCAGUGCAUCAUUCCCGUGUGAAGAUAGAUCUUCCCAUGAAAAUUAAUGACAAAGCUUUUAGAAGAAAUACUCUCCUGAUGUAAACACUUCGGAGUCAAAACUUUGUUAGCAUUGCAUUUUAAAUAUUACCUAGAAAUUAUUUUAUCUUAGGAGCUGCCUUUAUAUCGUCAGUUCACAGCUGUGUGCUUGCAUAGACACGCACAGUGUGCGUCUUACUGUGCAGUCUUUGCAAAUACAGCACAAAACUGGUACCACGUGUAGUAGAAGUCUAGAUGAUGAGUCUAAUUCUGUCCAGAGCACUGAUGAAUUUGUGGGGGUUUCUCUGGAGCCAUAGGUAAGAAUCUAAUUAUUGAUGACUGAGUAUGCUAAGAAUAAUUUGGUUUUCUCUGGAACAGUUUCAAAGCAAAACAUUGUGGAUCACAUUCACAAUCCCUUACGCCCAUCUCCUUCAGACACUUCAUGGGUUGCUGCAUUGAAAAGAAGCUGGAAUGGAAGUAAUUCUACUGGGUUUUAGCAUUUUUUACCCCAGUAACACUGGGAUGAUUCACUAAGAGGUCAGGAAGCAGAGGUCAUUUCUGAGUCUCUUGGACAUGACGGAUCAAGCUUUCAGCUGACUGGGUGCCGAGACAUCGUAUCGUGAUCGGUUUCAAGAUCACUUUCUGGUUAUUUUUCUCCUUAAAUCAAAAGGGGUGGGAAGAUUACUGUAGUUAGCAGUAGGAAAAUGACCUGUGAAAAAUCUUCAAGCUGAAUUAGUCACAAGAGUGAAGGACUGGGUUUUAUUUACUUUCGGUCAACGGGAUUUUAUUAUUUACAGGAGCAUUUCCGUGGUAGCUCUUGGUGAGAAAAGCUCUCCUUGGGCUUCAAUAAAUGAAACAAGCAGGUUCUGGAAAAUCUAGAUCUUUAUUGAGCUGUCAUCCUACUCAAAACAAUAAGGAGUUAUUUCUGUGUUAAUACUGAUUUAUGAGUGCUGUAAUACAAAGAGGUCCAAAUCAUAUUUUACAGUAAGAUUUGUAAACAUUUCCCCAUUAGCAAUUGUUCCUUUUCUCUGUCUUACUUUUGUACUUUUUGUGAUCUAAAUAGGGGACUCUGACAUGUGUGGUUUUCAGUAAACUAAAAGGAAGUGCAUGCAGUGAGUUUACCAGGCGUGUCACCUCAGGCUAGUAAGCUGACUUGCCUCAUUGUUGCAGAAGUUGAGUUUUCUAAUUCAACAGUAAAAAGAAAAGAUGAAUCCUUAUCACCUAAUUAAUAAAUGUGUUCUGUAAAGCCCUUUAUAUGUGUUGAAUGAAGCAAAACAUGCAUCACAAUUGGUCUGGUUAACAGGAAACUGCUACAGAUAUAAUUUAUCCCUUCUUAAAUUCUGAUGUUUGUUCAAAUUUGUGAUUUGUAUGCAACGCUAAAGUCCAUUGUUCUGUGUUUAUUUGGCUCAAUGGAAAGAUGUUGCAAAUUGCUGUUGUUUAUCAGUGAUAAUGUUCCUUAGCACUCUUCAUCUGGUUUUGAAGCUGCUUAUAAAAGAUAAAUAAGUAAGGCAACUCCUAAGUGUGAGUGUAGCUCCUUUUAGUGGUAGUAAACCCUGGAUGAAGAGAAAUGAGGGGACAACUGGAAGCACGAGCAGAGGAAAUCAGGUACAUGAAAACAUAAAGCAGCCAAAAUAGAGAAGGGUGUCAUCUAGAUACAAAAUUCUGGAGGCUGUUAUUUUUCAGAGCUAACAGAAGCAAGAGACCGAGCAGAAUGCUCAAUGGCAGCUAUGAGUUGUACACAUCCACAGUUGUGCUUCAUAAGCAAGUUCUGACAGUAGCACUCGUAUUCCCACGCUAUCUCCGUGUGUUUGCUGUGGAAAGCAGAUAGAUGCGAAUCAGAAACGCCACUUGAAGCUGGCACACCAAUAGGACAGCGUGCUCUUUUGCAAGUUCUGCCUGUCACCAUUUUCCCAUAAUAAAUGUUAUAUUUUACA